rnacentral:rRNA from 1 species
AAUGGGCGAAAGCCUGACGGAGCAACGCCGCGUGAGGGAUGAAGGCCUCUGGGCUGUAAACCUCUUUUAUCAAGGAAGAAGAUCUGACGGUACUUGAUGAAUAAGCCACGGCUAAUUCCGUGCCAGCAGCCGCGGUAAUACGGGAGUGGCAAGCGUUAUCCGGAAUUAUUGGGCGUAAAGCGUCCGCAGGCGGCCCUUCAAGUCUGCUGUUAAAAAGUGGAGCUUAACUCCAUCAUGGCAGUGGAAACUGUUGGGCUUGAGUGUGGUAGGGGCAGAGGGAAUUCCCGGUGUAGCGGUGAAAUGCGUAGAUAUCGGGAAGAACACCAGUGGCGAAGGCGCUCUGCUGGGCCAUCACUGACGCUCAUGGACGAAAGCCAGGGGAGCGAAAGGGAUU